UCGCGCAACCUUUGCAAUACACGCAAGUGUGACAGGGCUAUCCCGAGUGCCGUCCGCUGAGGAUGGCUUUUACCCAGUCUAGAAAGCUGGGGGAAUAAGGAGAGGGCAAGUCUGGUGUCAGCCGCCGCGGUAAUACCAGCUCUCCGAGUGGUGUGGAUGUUUAUUGGGCCUAAAGCAUCCGUAGCUGGCCAAGUUAGUCCCCUGUUAAACCCACCGAAUUAAUCGUUGGCGUGCGGGGGAUACUGCUCGGCUAGGGGGCGGGAGAGGCAGACGGUAUUUUCGGGGUAGGGGUGAAAUCCUAUAAUCCCGGGAAGACCACCAGUGGCGAAGGCUGUCUGCUAGAACGCGCCCCGAGGUGAGGGAUGAAAGCUGGGGGAGCGAACCGGAUUAGAUACCCGGGUAGUCCCAGCUGUAAACGAUGCAGGCUAGGUGUUUGGACGGCCACGUGCCGUUCUAGUGCCGCAGGGAAGCUGUUAAGCCUGCCGCCGUGGGGAGGUACGGUCGCAAGAUUGAAACGUUAAAGGAAGUUCGGCGGGGGAGG
rnacentral:rRNA from 1 species